rnacentral:rRNA from 1 species
UACGAAGGGGGGCUAGCGUUGCUCGGAAUCACUGGGCGUAAAGCGCACGUAGGCGGAUUGUUAAGUCAGGGGUGAAAUCCUGGAGCUCAACUCCAGAACUGCCUUUGAUACUGGCGAUCUUGAGUCCGGGAGAGGUGAGUGGAACUGCGAGUGUAGAGGUGAAAUUCGUAGAUAUUCGCAAGAACACCAGUGGCGAAGGCGGCUCACUGGCCCGGUACUGACGCUGAGGUGCGAAAGCGUGGG